rnacentral:lncRNA from 10 species
GUAACAUUUUAAUUUUUAAUAUAUUAACGGCUAAUAUAAAAAAGUAAAAAAUUUGUAUAACAAAAUAAAAUACUUAUACCGUGGUAUGGAAGAAAAGCAAGUUAUGCAUGUCGUAUCUACUAUUCAUAUGCACAUGAGUAUGUGCAUAUACUCCCAAACAUUUCAAAUGAAAUAUUCCAAAUAUUGACUAUACAUUAUCUCUAGGUAGUGGGAUUUAACUAAUGCUUGUUUUGUUUUUUUUUCUUCCAAAUUAUCUACAAUGAAGAUGUAUUGCUUUUAAAACCAGAAAAAUAUGCAUAAAAUAUUAUAUAUGAAGCAUGCAAAUGAUAGAUUUAAGAAUAGACACUAGUACCAAAUAUACUCCCUGGAAUCUUCACUACGAUCAAGAUAAUGAACCUAUUCAUCACCCCCAGAAGUUUCCUCGUGCCCCUUUGUAUUACUUUUGUUUGUAAUAGAUGUACAUAGAAGCAAACAAGCAAUCCAUCAACAACAACAACAACAACAAAAUCUAUUUUUCAAAAAAGCAUUUUAUGACUUUUCUGAAAUCUAAUGCACUUUUGUGCAGUUAAGAAUUUAAUAUUCUGCCUUUCAUUCUUGGCAAAACUUCUUGAAAAGGUGAUACAUUUGUCCCUGAUUUUGAUAAAAUGACUUCAAUUGCAGGAGACAGUAUUCAUGUAGGAUGCAGACGGCCCCUUAAUGUCAGUGUAGUCCAGUAGAGAACAUAAUAAGGCUCAGUACUGUGUGUACAGCUUUCAUCUUCAGCCAUGAAGCAAAAUUAAACAAGUAGUUCAUCAUUUCAGGCACUCCUUCUGCACCUUAGGUACCAAGAUGUUUUGUUCAAUUGAAUUUUUACUCAACAAAUAAACGUUUUACCAU